GUGUGUGUUUUCAUGCAAGUAAUAUUUCAGUCAUUUAAUUUCAUUUCUCCGUUGUUCCUUCAGAUGCGGUGGGAUUAUCGUGUUUGAUCUUCGGGCUAUUCCAUUUUGACCUCGGCGACAAACUCAAUUCAGUCAUCUGUUAGUCUUCAUUAAAUUAAAACAGUUUCGUGUGGUGAAGCUUUACAAUGUGUGAAACAAGUAGGUUUGUUUAAUGAAGUUCAUCACAUCCAAUCGUAUGGUCGUAUUUCCUGGGUCUUAAAUUACGAUCGGACAACACGGUAAUCGAGGCGGUGCUUCACAAACACGGAUGCAUAAACCGCGAUUUUUUUAAACCGUUCACCGUUUAUCAGUUUUCGAAUUAAUACACGUUGUGUUCCGCGAAAGUGUUUAAGUCGGCUGUAUUUAUCGUUUAACUGAAUAAAAAGUUUUUUAACAUGCAUUGUUCAAAUCGAGUGCUAGUUGUCUGGGAAACGGAAACGCGCAAACUAAAGACGCAGGAUGUGACUCGCGAGCCAACAAUUUCAACUUUAGAAACUUAUCUGGGCGACCAUGCUUCGGGCUGCCAGAGAUAAAGACGGACAGUCCUUAGAAGUUUAUUCUGAUGAUGAAUGUAAUACUGCAUUAGCAGGAAGAAUAAACAUGUUGGGGAAAAUAAAUGCAGCUUCGCGUGAGAGCAGCGAAAUCCACAGGGAAACGCCUGGGCGGCAACCCGUAACGUUACGCCAGCUCUACUGGAAACACACUCACCUGUGGCCCGCUAGUGUAGUCUCUUGUGCUAUUCAGCGUAGUCAUCGUAUCAUUUAUCGCUGUGCUCAUCUCCUUCUUGUACAUCGUAUUAAAAGAUCUAUGAGCAGAGAGGGUAACCACUGAAGAUGGAUCAGAAGUGAGACUCCUAGAAGUAUGACCGGACAUUCUUUCCACAUGGGCUACAGUUUUGGCAAUACUCAACGGCAUAGUAGCUGCGCUCACUCUUAUAUGGUAUCUCGCCUGAUGCAUCUCCACUACGGCCCAUAUGUGGAUACCUUGACUGACAUUUAACUUGCAGGUUCCAGGAAGAGAUUCCAAGUUUAAAUAGUUCACCCCAAAACGAAAAUUUCCUUAAGAUUUAGAUGAGUUUGCUUCUUCAUCGGAACUUCCGCACCAGUGGAUCCUCCAUCCCAUAAUUUUCAUUUUUGGUUGAACAAUUGCUUUAGUGGCAGAAGGAGCUGACAAAUAAAGUUACUAAUAUAACUACAGAUAAAACUUUUUUUUUUUUAAAUGGCUCAAAAACAAACACAUAGGAUAGAAUUCUAGUUGUAUUACAUUAAAUUUUCUUAGUAAUUCAGACAAGUACAGUGUUUUAUUUUUUUAGAGGAUUUCUCACAUUUUCUUAUGUUAAUUUGACAAAUUCAAUGAACGCACAAUGGUUUCUUAAUGGACUACAUUUUAUAAAAAAAUAAUUGAAUAUAAUAGCUA